GUGAUACUCCCUCCGUCUGAAAAUACUUGUCGAAGAAAUGGAUGUAUCGAGACGUAAUUUAGUUCUAGAUACAUCCAUUUUUAUCCAUUUUUCCGACAAGUAUUUCCGGACGGAGGGAGUACAAA
rfam:Triticum aestivum genome assembly, contig: Triticum_aestivum_CS42_TGACv1_scaffold_321418_4BL